CCCCUUAAAAAGGAAAUCUCUUCAUUAUCCAAAACCAGCCUAACUCCGUAUUUGGGCUACUCAAGGCAAAGUUUUUCUGGGCACUUGAGUCGGCCUGAUUUAUGUGGAUUCGGGGACCAAGAAAUGGGCCGAAACGAGUUUUCCUUUCCUUCCAAGAAUCCGACCUCCACUUGCCUCGAGGCUAAGAUUUUUCCUUCUACUCUGUACCGUGAAAAACUGAAUCUUGAACGAUCGAAGCAACUUUUGACAGUUGCAUAAGAGCACUCUCAGAAUCUUCCUGGUCUCUGAUACGAAAAAUGGCUGCCAAUUUCUGGACAUCCUCUCACCAAAAACAGCUAUUGGAACAGGAAGACGUGGAUGUGGUGCAACCACUUGACAAAGACAAGGGCAUCACUCUUGAAGAUUUCAAGCUCAUUAAGAUGCAUAUGGCCAAUUAUAUGUUGAAAUUGGCUCAACAUGUAAAAGUGAGGCAAAGGGUGGUUGCUACUGCUGUGGCAUAUAUGAGACGUGUUUACACCAGAAAGAGUAUGACUGAAUAUGAUCCGCACCUCGUGGCUCCAACCUGCUUGUACCUGGCAUCGAAAGCAGAAGAAAGCACAGUGCAGGCCAGGCUUCUUGUAUAUUACCUCAAGAAAUUAUAUUCUGAUGAAAAGUAUAGGUACGAUAGGUAUGAGAUCAAAGACAUCCUUGAAAUGGAAAUGAAGAUUUUAGAAGCACUCAACUAUUAUUUAGUUGUGUUCCAUCCUUACCGAGCAUUGUCUCAGUUGCUUCAUGAUGCAGGUCUGAAUGAUAUAAGUAUGACUCAAGUAACUUGGGGACUUGUGAAUGACACCUACAAGAUGGACCUUGUUCUCAUACAUGCUCCACAUCUGAUUGCUUUAGCUUGCAUUUACAUUGCUAGCGUACUCAGGGAAAGAGAUACCACUGCAUGGUUCGAAGAGCUUCGUGUUGAUAUGCAUGCGGUACAUUUUCCCAGCUAAGUCUUAUUUUUGUCAUGGUUUGUCUGUUACCUCUCAUUCCAAUUAAAUCUAAAGUAAAACAAUGAACUGGCAGCCUCUUUUGGAUGCCUCAUCAUUACUCGCUGUGCAGUGUGCAAGUCAUUUAAAAUCAGUCGUUGAAAAAAACCAAUCAUGGUAUCAGGUCCUGUCUUCAGCAUCCAAUUUUCAAUGUUAGAUUGUCUAGUUGCCUAGAGAAAAACUGAUGGAAACUGGGAAAGGAUGUGAAAAAUUGGAGCACAUUCUAGUUAAAAUUUUAACAAUACAUGAUCAUAUUUCAGGUGAUAUGUCUUAAUGGCCGGCCAAUAAUUUUAACUUCUAGUUGAUUUGCCUUGAAUUCAGAGACUGAAUUGCUUGUCUUGGAGCAUUUCCAGUGGUCUGUACCUUUUUUAAGCUCUAAAAUUCAUUAUUAUGCCUUUUUUAUGGAUUAGAAGAGUAUCAUGGUUAAAUGUCAAAAUACCUUGUAAGAUAUCGUUUUUAGAAUUAUUUUUAGUUUUAUUUUUCUCUUAUUUCCUCGGCUAUAUGGUGAAAAUGCAAAUACUGAGAGUAGAAAUUGAAUGUAGUUUUGGUUAGGUUUGAGUUUAGAGGAGUAAAGUACCUAUCUAGGAUUUCAGAAUCUCUAGAUCUUCUACUAGAAUUCAUCCAGUACAAGUGACAAAUAGAUGAUAGUGGCAUGAAAAUGGUCUGUUACUCCACUGCUAAGUCCUGUGCCUCAUGAGCACUACUCUUCACCAUGUGACUUGCAGGUAAAAAAUAUCUCUAUGGAGAUACUAGAUUUCUAUGAAAACCACAGAAUGAUCACAGGAGAUAGAAUCAUUGCCGCUCUCAGCAAGCUAAAUUUGAAGCCCUAAAUAGUUUGGUAACUCUGCUUCCUGCAGGAAAAUAAUGCUGUUUUAUCUUUGUUAUGACCUAGGUCAAGUUUCCGGUCUAUCUCAAAAGAAGUAGAUGAUCCUAUUCUUUGUGAUAUUGGAAAGCUAUCAACUUGUUUUUUAGCCAAGUGAAGGGGGAAGGAGUUGGAUUACAUUUUGUAGAGGAGACGUGCUCCAUUAGAUCUCCACGGUGUUUGUAUGAGAUGAUUAAUGUAACGUGAAAAAGCUAGUUUAUGAUUAUCAAUCAGUCUAGCUCUAUGCAGACAGGUACUUGAUUUUAUGGGAAUUGGUUUCGUUUAAAGUUA